AUUGAACGCUGGCGGCAGGCCUAACACAUGCAAGUCGAGCGGAUGAAGGGAGCUUGCUCCUGGAUUCAGCGGCGGACGGGUGAGUAAUGCCUAGGAAUCUGCCUGGUAGUGGGGGAUAACGUCCGGAAACGGGCGCUAAUACCGCAUACGUCCUGAGGUAGAAAGUGGGGGAUCUUCGGACCUCACGCUAUCAGAUGAGCCUAGGUCGGAUUAGCUAGUUGGUGGGGUAAAGGCCUACCAAGGCGACGAUCCGUAACUGGUCUGAGAGGAUGAUCAGUCACACUGGAACUGAGACACGGUCCAGACUCCUACGGGGGGCAGCAGUGGGGAAUAUUGGACAAUGGGCGAAAGCCUGAUCCAGCCAUGCCGCGUGUGUGAAGAAGGUCUUCGGAUUGUAAAGCACUGUAAGUUGGGAGGAAGGGAAGUAAGUUAAUACCUUGCUGUUUUGACGUUACCAACAGAAUAAGCACCGGCUAACUUCGUG
rnacentral:rRNA from 1 species